UGGUAUCUUAUUUGGCACAGGAGGAAGAUGAUGACUGUGUGUUUUAGGUAGCUGGUAAAAGAAAUUUAGUUCUUGGUAGAUAAGCUAGAUAGGACAUUAAGUAUUCAACAAAGUCGAAACAACAGAAUUAUGCCAAAAAAGGCAAGAGGGUCCAAUAGCCAAUAGAGGGCUAUAGCCACUGUUGGCCAUAAAGUAAGUCCCAUCAUUCAUGAACCCCUUCCAUUGAGGUGAAGAUGUUUUUCAAGUAACUCAGUCAAGGACAAGAACCCAUCCAGAUAUAUUUCACCCAAAAAUGUGCCUCACCUGAAAAUGUGCUUGAUGGUGGAAUGCCUGAAGGCUGGUCACCCAGUGGCUUUUCACCUGAAACUUGUUCACUUGAAGCCUGCUCACCUGAAGCUUGUUCACUUGAAGCCUGUUCACCAGAAGGCUUCUCACUGGAAGCUGGUUCACCUGAAGGCUUUUCAGUUGAAACCUGUUCACCUGAAGCCUGUUCACCUGAAGGUUUUUCGACGGAAGGCUGUUCACUGGAAGGCUUUUCACCUGAAGACUGUUCGCCGGAAGGCUGUUCAACUGAAGGCUUUUCACCUGAAGACUGUUCAACUGAAGGUUCACCAGAAGUGUGCUCUCCUGAAGCACGUUCACCUGAAGUGUGUUCACCCGUAGCAUGCUCACCUGAAGUGUGUUCACCUGAAGCGUGUUCACCUGAAGUGUGUUCACUCGAAGUGUGCUCACUGGAAGUAUGUUCAGCUGAAGUGUGCUCACCUGAAGAGUGCUCACUUAAAGUGCUCUCGCCUGCAGAAGUCUCAUAUAAAGCCUCACCAUCUGAAGGGUUUCCAAGUGAAACGUACUCACCUGAAAAUUGCUGAACUGAAGCUUGAUGAUCCAUGGAGCCAGGAGGCUCAUCAGGCUGACCUGAUGCUCCUGGGAUGGAGAAGAAACAGAAGAGAGACAGUGAAGGCAAGAGAAAGAAUGGGAUAAGGACUGCUUUGCUUAUGCAAUAAGGCUAACGUGGGAUUCCUGGGUUUCCUGUAGGCCUGGUCAGGGAUCUGAAGAUAUUGCAGAUGUUGGAGGAAAUCAACUAAUUACUUGAAAGACCAUGAAGG